rnacentral:tRNA from 1 species
CGGGGUGUAGCUCAGUUGGUAGAGUGUACGGUUCGGGACCGUAAGGCCGGCAGUUCAAAUCUGCCCACCCCGACCA